AUACGGAGGGGGUUAGCGUUGUUCGGAAUUACUGGGCGUAAAGCGUACGUAGGCGGACUGGAAAGUUGGGGGUGAAAUCCCGGGGCUCAACCCCGGAACUGCCUCCAAAACUUCCAAUCUAGAGAUCGAGAGAGGUGAGUGGAAUUCCAAGUGUAGAGGUGAAAUUCGUAGAUAUUUGGAGGAACACCAGUGGCGAAGGCGGCUCACUGGCUCGAUACUGACGCUGAGGUACGAAAGCGUGGGGAGCAAACAGGAUUAGAUACCCGAGUAGUCC
rnacentral:rRNA from 1 species